GAUGAUGCUCCACAACCAAAAUCAAAGGCUCCUGCUAGAUGGAUUGUCAUCAAGUGUAAUAGACAAAAAGGAAGCACUGAGUGCGGCUAUUAUGUCAUGCACUGAAUGUCCACCAUCAUUUUAGGAAGUUUCAGGAAUAAUUAGGAAGCGUAUUUUAACGAUCCUAGACAAUUGGAGCUAGAGAGAUUAAAGGCGCUUCGGAUCCACU